CACCACCUCUUCUCCUUCCUCUCCUCAUUCCACAUCUACCCUUGGUUUCCUUCAAAUCUUCGCCCAAAUGUCCGAAUCUUAAAUCAAAGGUUCUGGCCCAGAUAAAAAAUUGUCCAAAAAUUUUCAAAUUCACACCACACAUCCCCCAGUCCUCCCACACCCCUAAUCCCUAGCCAAAUCUCCUCGAAUCUGGGUAUAGAUGCCCGAAUUUCAAAUUCUAGGGUUUUGGAUCAAGGAUGUUUCGAGGGAUUUAGAGGUUCAUUUUGUUUAAGUUAAUGUUAUAUUCUUAUUUCAUGCGAAAUAAAUGUAUAACAUUAACUCAAAGCCAAUUUGAGAUCAUUUGAGUUCGAGUUAAUUCAACUCUCAAACCAAUGAGUUUCCCUAAUUUUUUUCUUUUCAUUCUUUUUUUCUUUUUGUUUAUUUGUUCUAAUCUUAUUUGAAUUGUUUCUAUGCCAGUUUUAUUUUUAAUUCGUUCUUGUUCUUUGUUUUAAUUGUGAUGUUUAAGUUCUUUUUCGAUUUAGUUUUGAUCAUUGCUGUUUAAGUUCAGUUUGAUUUUGAUUGGUUGGGUAUUGUGGAUUUCCUAUUAACUUUGAUCAUUUUAAGUUUGUUUUGGGUUUUGUGAGAUUCUGUUUUAAUGAAUUAACAUCUCUGUUUGAUACUUAGCUUAGGUCCAUAUAAUUUAAUGUUUAAUUAGUCAUGAGGUUUGGUUAUAGCUGAGUAGUUAGGUAAAUUGGCCUUAGUUAGAUUUUAACUUUGGUAAAAGGGGAUUUGGGUUGGGUAGUAAUUCUAAGGUAAAAACAGGGGUAGUUUGGGGAUAGAAGAGGGCAGUAUCUUGAAAAAUAGUUAUUGCAAGGUAGGGUUAAGGGUAGUAUAGUAUUUUUAGGGCUAAAAGAGCAUCCUAGAAGCUACUAGAAUAGGAUUUUAGUGUAUAUUUCAGAAAACUUAGGGAGUAACUUGAGGAACAAGUUAGGAAAUUGAGGCUUAAAGUGAAAAAUGUGCAGGGGCUAAAAGGAAAAAUAAAAACCUAAGGUUUGCCCUCACUCUUGCCUAUAUAAAGGCAUUAAUUUCCUUGUGAAAGGGUCUUCUUCCCUCAGCCAAAAAUUCCCUAAGAAUACACUCCUCAAACUCUCCAGAUUUGAGAGCAAAAUUCCAGUUCUGAAAAUACCUUUAGAUAUUAGCUUUCAUCAUACUCAAAAACACAACAACCAAAAAAACAACAACAAAAAGUCUUCAAAAAAAUCAAAAAAUGAAAUUGUUCCAUUGGUGUUCAUAUCUUAAUUUCGAGUUUAAUUGUUAGUUUGGCCUCUCUUAGUGCUUUGCUUGGUAGUUGAGGUUCAGCAUCUUUCUUGGUUUAAUUUCGAGUGGUUUCUGAGUUUAAGCAAGUUAGAUUUGGAAAUUUGUACUGCAUUUGUAAUUGUGGUGGUAUUCUUAAAUAUAUUUUGUUCAAUUUGGCGAUGCAAUUGGAUUGGCUUUUCUGCGUGAAAGUUCAAAUAUUUUCUAACUCCUAGACUGGUUCUGGGUUGUUGUUGGUUUAUUCUCUGAGCUAAAAUCUGUUGCAUUGUUGCUGUUCACGUCUCAAGAUGUUGUUGCUCACUCCUUCAAUUACUAAUAUUUCCUUUUCCUUCUUGCAAACUGAUUCCAGGUACACAUGUAGAGCCACAUGUGGUGUCAUUUGAAUGGGAAAUGGAGAACUUGAUAUUUAGCUCGAUUGCAUUUGUCUGAUUUGUUCAGUUUAUUUUAUACUUCAUUUUAGUAGUUAAAUGUGGUACUUAAUGAAACUGUUUUGGAUCGUUUUUUAUUUAUGGAUUGUUAGUUUAGUUCAGUUUGUUAUUAAGAACAUAUGAAUGAUGUAUUUAAUAAUUCAUUUGGGUAUGAUUUGUGUUGUUAGCGUAUUGGAAAUGGAACUCGUUUGAAGCUUUGCCUUAAACUCAAAAUUGAUUCUGCAUUUAGUAAGUAGAUCGAGUUUGGACUUAAUGAUUUAUUUAGUAGGUUGUUUUGGUUCAGCUAGACAACUAGUAUAAUAAAAUCCAAAUUGUGUUGUCUGUUCAUAAAAAUGAAAAUGGGUUUGAUAUUAUGCAGUUUUUCUUUACUUCAAUAACAGUGGUUCAAGUUUGAAAUCAGGGAAUAGGCACUCGAAUUAGUGAACUGCUUUGCCAUAGUCGUUGCAAUUUAAAUUUCUGUAGUGGUUUUGUUUAAAUAGACACAGUUUGACUUUGAAACUGAAAUCAAAACAAGUGAGCAAAUUACAUUGCCUUUGCCUUGCUACAAGUCAGUGCAUAAGCAAAGUUACUUAAAAUCUAUUUGAUUUAUGCGGAGCAGCAUUUGGGCCAAGUCCAACAUCUGGGGUUAGAUAGCCCAUUUUCAAGUAGUGGGGGCCUCGACAUCUGUAGGAAAAUCGUAAUAUACAUUAGGGUGGACCUUUUAUAAAAUAACUAGACGAGUCUCGCCAAACAAAAUGAAUGCGGGGCCCUCAAUAAUGGUUAUAUAAAAUUAUUUAGAAUAUGGGAGGGCCGAUUAGCGAAUUCCACGGUCUUUCCCAAAAAUAAUAAUACGCUAGAAUCUUUAUACGCUUUUAAUUAAAAUAUCUUCUUAAACUCGGGUGUGAUUGAUGCAACCCAAAUCCAAAUCUCAGCGAAGUCGAAUGUGUUGAUAACCACAGGUUCCUUGAUGGCGACGGGGUUAAAAACGCAUUUUCAUAACGUCGUAAUUCUUAUAAAACAAAUAAUGAUCUAAAAAAUAGUAAUAAAAUGGAGACGAGCCUCACAGAACAAAAAUAAAUGUAGGGCCAUCAAUAAUUGGUUAUUAAAAAUAAUUAGAAUUUGGAAGGGCCGUUAAGCGAAUUUCAACGGCCUUUCCCAAAAUAAUAGUACGCUAGAACCUUUAAGCGCGAUUUAAUUAAAUUAAUUUCUUAAUCUCGGGUGCGCAUUGAUGCGACCCAAAUCCAAAUCUCGACGAAGUCGAAAUGUGUUGAUGACCACGGGUGCCUUGAUGGCGACGUGGUCAGAGACGUGUUUUUACGACGUCGCAAGUCUUUUAAAAUAACUAAUUGUAAAAGUGAUUUAUAAAUAAAAGGCACAUAAAUACGAUAGUUGAGUGACUGUGCUAGAACCACGGAACCCGUAAAUGCCUAACACCUUCUCCCGAGUUAACAGAAUUUCUUAUCCGGAUUUCGGGUUCGUGAACUGUGAAUAGAGUCAUCUUUUUCCUUGGUUCGGGAUUCAAUCGGUAACUUGGGACACCAUUAAUCUCCCAAGUGGCGACUCUGAAAUAAUUAAUAAACUCAAUCCCGUUCCGAUAGUUCUUUUAUUGAAAAAACUCCUUUACGCCUCCUUUGCGGGGGUGUAUAGCGAAAAAGGAUGUGUGACAGCUCUGGCAACUCUGCUGGGGAAAAGAACCCAGAAAGUUUUGUUUAGGGUUCAGAAUUCGAGCUUAGAUAAAUUGUUGUAUUUUGUCAUAUCUGAUUUUCCUACAUGCUUUGUGCUUAAUGUGCUAAUUGUUACCGCUUUGAUAUUAUCUGAACUGUAUAUAAACUGUGCUGACACCCUUCUCUCUCUACCUCCGGGGAUGUGCUUACUGGUUGAGACUCCCUAUUAUGCUAGUGUCAUACCCUAAAAUAAGAAAGAGGCCAGAUAAGUUACGAAGCCGGACGACCCCGCUGGUCACCGGUAAGUUGCCCCCUCCUUGAUUCAAGUUGUCCGCUCGGGUAUCUCUCUCUACCUCCGGGGAAGUGCUUACUGGUUGAGACUCCCUAUUCUGUUAGUGUCAUACCCUAAAAUAAGAAAGAGGCCGGAUAAGUUACGAAGCCGGAUGACCCCGCGGGUCACUGAUAAGUUGCCCCCUCCUCGAUUCGAGUUGUCUGCUCGGGUACACUGUCUAAAACACCGACCCAGGUUUUUAACAUAGAAUAACUUGACUUCAUGUCGAAUCCUUAUUAGGAACGCUUAUUUGCAUCAUGUUGCAUUUGACUUAGGGGACUCAACAUGGGUUGGGUACGUCUAGGACUAGCAACCUGAAAUGAAUAGACCUUCUUGAUGCGUCCUAUGUGGUACAUGUUUCAUUUAUUCAGGGUUAAAAGGUUCAUUUGGCGGACCAAUGGUAGUUGAGGAAAAAAAAAAGAAAACAAAGUGAAAAACGAAAAAGAAGAAAAAAGGAUGAAAAAAAAAGAAAAGCGGGUGAAGUGUAAAAUAAAGCAAGUAGGGCCUAGUUAUGUCUUUAUUAUUUUUUUAUAUUAAGGAAAAAAAACAUGAAAAAUUCAAGAAGAUUUUGCAUUUUUUUUUAAAAUCAUUUUCUGAAAGUCAAAAAUAAAAAAAAAAGGAAAAAGAAAAUUCCAAAAAGAUUUUGCAUGUUUCAUCAUUUAAAAAAAAAAGAGAUAAAAAAUGUGUUUUCGAUAAAUUAGUUUUUUUUUAUUUCGCUUGUAUCUAAUCGUCCCGAACUACACAUACCUGAUUCUCGUCUUUCGGGGCGUGAUUCGUAGGCAACCCACAUAGGGUCCGGUCUUCCCAGUAAAUCUUAGGUUCUUGGCUUCAACGGGUCUUAACCAAAUUUUGUAUUUCUAGCCCCAUUUUGGCCAAAUAAACCAUUUUGCAAAAAUACCCUCAAUCAUGUCUUGCGUGUGUCUAAUAGGGAAUGUUUUUAUCUUACAUAGUGUUGGUUUAAGUUUUAUCGUACAUGUGUGGAUUUACUUACUGGUGUUUGAGCAGAACAGAGCCCUGGACAUCUAGUCAGGAUCGUCCGUUCAGGAGUGGAUUAAAAAAUGUUUCCUUUUCUUAUGUUUUGACUCUAUUUUUCCUUUUAUGUCAUUUUUUUACCUUUUAGUUUUGUAUAGUAAUGUCGAGUUUUAUUAUUAUUAUUGUACCUUUUAUUUUUCAAAGGUGUGUAAUAAAUCAAAUCCAAAAAAAAAAGAGAUGUUGCAUGUUUUAUUUUCGUUAUAAGCUUUCUUUAAAAUACUAAUUGUAGAAAUGAAAAAAAAUAUUUUGAAGUGGUUUUUCCUUUAGGCAAUAACAUCUAGGACUUAAAAUGGGUUGUUUCUAGAUCUCCUUAGUAUAUUAAGACUAAAAAUCCAAAAAAAGAAGAGAUUGUUCUUCUAGUACCUCUUUAUAAAUUUUUCUUUAAGGUAUUAAUUCCAAAAAUCCAAAAAGAUUUUCUUUUGAGGUUCUCCUUUGGGAAGCUAAUGAAAAAUAAAAAAAUUUCUUUGGAACUUUAGGAUAUUGUACAUAGAAAAAUAAUGUGUUUGUUUUUUGUUUUACCUUUAGAAGCUAUUCUUUAGGUAAUCAAAAAUUGAAAUCCAAAAACAUUGUGUUUUAUCUUUUCCAUUGCUUGUUUCGGAAUAUCGCGUCAAGAUGUCAGACAAAAAUUCAAAAUAUUUUUUCUGUGAUUUAUUCUUUAUAUUUUCUUCCUUAAAAAAAGAGGAUCAAAAAUAUUUUUUUGCUAGGAUUUUUCCUUAGUAGAGUAUUUGUUUGAAAAAAAAUACAUGCACUUUAAGCUUGAGUUUAGAAUAAGUCAUAUAACAUUCAUUCUGGAAAAUAAAAUAAAAAGGGUUUGCUACUUCAUUUCUCUUUUCUCAACAGAUUGUCAUACAAAAAAAAAAGAGGAAAAAAUGGAAUGUCAGUUUGCUUACUUUAUUCCCGUUCUUCCCGAAGUACACAAGAUCUAAUUCAUGCGGGGUCAUGAUACAUAGGCAACCUACAUAGGGUUUGAUCGAAUCAUUUUUUUAUUAAAAGAAAAAGAAAAGAAAAAAGAAAAAGGAGAAAAAGGGACGAAAAAAAAGAAAGGAAAAGAAAGGAAAAGAGAAAAAAAAGGGUGAAAUCAUGGGACGUGAGAAAUGAGAGGAAAGAAAGGAGUGAUAACUAAACAAAAGGAAGAAAAAUGAUCAAUAAAUGCUAGAAAAGCAAAGAGAAGAGAGGUUGAAAUGAACAAAUUGGGGUGAUUCCAACUGACCUUUGUACCCUCGAAGUCAUUUUAGAACCGACUGUGAUCAGGUGCCUUGCACAAUGUGAUAUUUUAGCUGUUCAAUGCCCUAACGCUAAUGUGAUGGCUUCAUUUGUUAUAUUUAUAGCAUAAAGGUGGUUGGUUUGUGGUUUUAAAGUGGUAAAUCUUCUCUACAACACAAGGUCAAAGAGCAAGGCAGUCAUGACUGGAAAAUGGUUGAACACGGGUGUUACUGAUCCUUCUAAGGAAAUUGUUGAAUUAGAAUCUGAGUUGAAAAAGGGGUUUUGAGGUUGAAAAGACAGAUGGCCGAAAUAUACCAAGUAUGGAUUAAUGGUGUCCUCCUCUUUCACUCCAUGAUGCCCAACAUUAUGCUCCAGAACCAAUUGUCAAGAUCUCGAGUCCUUACCAUCACGCUCUUUAUUCUAAGUCUCCCGGUAAGACUACGAAGCUUACUAAGACAGUGGAGCAAGAUGAGAUAUCCAGAAAGCUGGAAGGUUUUAAGAUGCUGAAGUUCAGUUUAUAUGAUGGGCUGGGAGACAUGGUAGCCCACAUGAGGGAUUAUUGCAAUAAAACAAGGAAUGUCGGCGAGGAAGCUGAGUUGUUGAAGUCGCAUUUCAGUAAGAGCUUGACUAAGGCAGCCUUGGAAUGGCAUGAUCGUCAGGAUGUCAGGAAGUGGCACACGUUGGGCGACAUGGCUCAUGAUUUUGUGCGAUAUUUUCAGCCCGGUAACCCACCUGAUGGUUUACUGCAGUAAAACAAGGAAUGUCGGCGAGGAAGAUAAGUUGUUGAUGUCGCAUUUCAGUAAGAGCCUGACUGGGGCAGCCUUGGAAUGGCAUGAUCAUCAGGAUGUCAGGAAGUGGCACACGUUGGGCGACAUGGCUCACGAUUUUGUGCGAUAUUUCAGUACAAUAAAGACGUUGUUCCAAUAUAUUCUUCCCUAUCUCAGACGACAAAGAAACCCAAGGAAAGUUUUAGGAAAUUUUGGAUCAGAUGGAAUGAACAAGUUGCUCAGGAACUCCUUCCAUUGAUGAAAAAUAUAUCGUUGAGCACCACUGACGAUAGGGCUCGGUAGUUGUUCCUGCCAAGCGUCUUCAGCCUCAAUUCCAACCGCAAACAUGUACCCGAGCUCCACAUAAUCUACCUUAGCAUUAUCCUCCCAACAAUGACUGGUCAUAUGUCCAACCACCAAGUCAUUCCUUCCACUGGCAAUAGGGUCCAGUGACUGUUCUUGCUAAACCCUCUCAGCCUCGACGUCAGCCCCACGGAUAUCCUUGUACACCAGGUUACCCGCCCCAACGCUACGUCCCUGGAUCAGGUUUCCAGCCAAAUCAGGCAUUUAGGAAUGAGAAUUGCAUAAAAAGAAAACCUACACUCCCUUUGUAGAGUCAUACGCCAAUCUAUACCAGAGGCUAAGGAGUUCGGGUGUGUUGAAGCCUAUUCAUGUAAAAAUACCAAACACUAUCGAAGAAGUUUGAUUUUUCCCAAAGGUGUACAUAUUGCUCAAAUGCUCUGGGGCAUGACACAGAAAAGUGCUGGAAGCUGAAGAAAGCAAUUCAGGAGCUUAUUGACACGAGUAACAUCGUCGUACAAACUCCGGACGCAUCGGACACCAGCCAAAAGCCAUCGCCUGCAUGUAAUGGGGUAGACAUGGUGGGUAUGAUUCAUUUUGAAAAGGAAUGUGAAAAUUCUCUGAGAGCCCUGGAGACCCAAAAAUAAUUUUUUGAGGAUGAUGUGAUGAAAGAUUGUAAAGUUCCUAAUGUUGAUGAUGCAGAAUUUAGUGGCUAAGAUGUCGUAUUUGGUAAUUGGAAAGACACUCCAUUCCUAGGUUAGUCGGGGAGGAGCUUUGGUGGUCUAUUUUGUUGUCAUUUCUAUUUUUCGAGUUAUUUCAGGGCUGUAAUCUGGAUAUUGUCUUGUGACUCAAACCCUUCUAUCCUGUUAUUUUGCCUAGUUUGUGUAGUCGUAAUAGCUCGUUUAGUGUUGUCUAGGUUUGUUCCAAGGUUGUAACCCUAGUUUAGUUUGCUUAUUUUGUUGUUCGAACCGUUUCACCAUCUGUCUAAUGUAAUUUCUUGUCUUUUGUUAUUUCUAGUCAUUUUUCUAUAUUUUGUUCUUUUAUAUCCUUUUGUUUAAUGCUGGUUCUGGUGACAUGACAUGCACGUGUAAUUCUCAGCCUGAGCUCAAAAGUUAGUUAAGUCGUGAAACAUUGAAACAAUUUUGAAGAUGGCAGAGGCACUUGUGGGAAAUAAGAUUAGAUUUGGAAACUUUGAGAUUGUGAAGCAUUGAAACAAUUUUGAAGAUGAGAGAGGCGCUUGAAGGAAAUAAGAACAGAUUUGGAAACUUUGAGAUCAUUUGAAGCCCGGACCAUGUGAAACUAGGCAUGUAAAACAUAAGAAAUCGUAAAAGCAAGUUUGCUAAAUUGACAGGGGGCCUUUCAUGGUAAUGAGAGUAAGAGUUUUGCCCAAUGGUGUGUUGUAUUUAACGGAUGAAGAAGGAAAAUGUGCGGAUAUGGUUAUCAAGUCUGACACUAUCAGAAGAUGUUACGAAUGCUUGUUUAAUUGUGUUAUUGUACUUGGCAUGUUUUGAAGAUUGGAAUGACAAAGGCACUUUGAUCUGCUAUUUAAACACCUUACCCUUCGUCACCCCUUUUGAGCCUUAUUUAGUUUCUUUCAUACCCCUCUUUUGGAAUCAGUAGCAAGGAUCAGAAACAGAAGCGUGAAAGAUAAGAAAAGAAAAAAAAGAGAAAAAAGAAUGAAAAGAGAGAGAACAAAAAAAUAAGAAAAGAAAAAGCAAAAGAGGAAGAAAAAGAAAGAAAGAAACAAAAAGGAAAAAGAAGAAGAAAAGAGAAGAAAAGAAAAUGAAAAGACGGAAAAGAGGAAAAGAAAAACAAAGGAAAAGAGAAGAAAAUUCACAACAAAAGUAAUUUCUAUGACGUGAACUACGUAUGACUUGAUCCCGAAAGGGUAUGUAGGUAGCCUCGCUGAGGUUCACUCAUACCAAAAUAAAAGUUCAAAACCCCAAGUGAGAAACUGAGGCAGAAGUUGUGGUUGUUGUGAGAAAUCAGAUUCCAAAAGUUGUAGUUUUAACCCCAUUUUGAAUUGUUUUGAGCCUUUUAUACCCCUUCUUUCUAACCUUGUCCAAACGUCACAUUACGGUCUAAAGAAAGACCUUCUGAUCAGUCUUUAAGAGAUGCCAAGUCAAGCAAGUAGAGGUGAUUCAUGUCAGGUACAACACUCCGAUACAAACAAGGAAAAUGAAAAUGAGCGAGCCAAAUUGAUGAAAACUCUUACGGGUACCGCAAGGUGAUGAAAGCUGAGAGAAAUAAAAAAUGAGAGAGUCUUAUUGGUGAAAACAUUCACGGGCACCUUCAGGCGAUGGUAAGUUGAGAGAAGGAACAAAAUAAAAGAGGCUUGGUUGCGAAUCAGAUUGGAUAAGCAGAGCAUUGAAGCCCAAUUUCACGGCUAAAAGAUACAACAAGAGAUGAACAUCAGAUUUGCUUAAUAGAAUAGGCCACAGGUGCAUGUCAAGGUCAUUAGAGUCGGUAUCUGCAUCCGAUAGGUUUCUACUUUGUAGGUUUUCUUGUUAGGAAUCAUCUUUUCGAUUGUCCUUUACGCUGUUCCUUUUAUCUUGGUUACUUCCUCUUUCUAAGUCUAUUUGGUCAAAACAAGUGAGAAAUAAUUUCAAAAUUUGCCACCAGCUUCCUAAUUGCUCAAGACAGAUCUGGCUAGUACAUCAAAGUGUCAUGAGUCAAGAAAGAGCGACAAGCACACUGAGUUGGUAAAAAAUUUAUAUGCUUUGGGAUUCGGGUUAAGUACAAAGGAUUGGUAUAUAUCAAUUUGUGAACAAUGCAACAGAUGGAGGGUUAGGGCGAAUGAAUCAAUAUGCUUUGGGAUCAUGUGAAACACAAUGGUUUGGCAGAUAUAAGUUUACGAGCAAUGCAACAGAUGGAGGGUAUUGGGUUUGAACGGAGAAGAGGUAUUUUGUGAUAAGGGUGACAGCGAAAGAGGUUAGUCAAAGAACAAGCAUGGUCUUUCAGGGUGAAAUCAAAGUUAUCAUGGCAAGUGAAGGAGUAAUCGUAGCAAAGUCAAGGCUAGAAACCAACCACCAUGUUUAGACUCACAAGUUUUCUUUGUCUGAAACAAGGACGGAAACAAUGUUCAUAUCUAAGCUGGGAAGGUUGAAAUUUGCAGGUGUAAUGCCCCAAUUCUGCUUACACAAGGGCUACUGAGAAAAUCACACAUCACCACUAGGAGAAGCAUUUCUUAGUCUGGGUUUUCAACAUAUUUUUGUUGUAGGAGACGCACUUCCUAAAUUGAUAGUUCAUAGGAGACACACUUCCUAGUUUGAUUCAUUGAAGUUUCACCCUUAGGAGACGCACUUCCUAAGUUGAUUUUCACCCAUUGGAGACGCACUUCCUAAAUUGUUAGUUCAUUCAUAGGAGACGCACUUCCUAGUUUGAGUCAUUGAAGUUUUACCCAUAUGAGACGCAAUUCCUAAAUUAUUAGUUCAUUCAUAGGAGACGCACUUCCUAAAUUUUUAGUUCAUUCAUAGGAGACGCACUUCCUAGUUUGAGUCAUUGAAGUUUUACUCAUAGGAGAUGCACUUCCUAAAUUGAGGUUUCACCCCUAGGAGAUGCACGUCCUAGUUUGAGUCAUUUAAGUUCGACCCUAGGAGACGCACUUCCUAGUCUGAUUCAUUGAAGUUUUACCUGUAGGAGACGCACUUCCUAAAUUGUUAGUUCAUUCAUAGGAAACGCACUUCCUAGUUUGAGUAAUUGAGGUUUCACGCCUAGGAGAUGCACUUCCUAGUUUAGGUCAUUCAAGUUCAACCAUAGGAGACACACUUCCUAGUCUGGUUCAUCAAAGUUUUACCAUUGGAGACGGACUUCCUAAAUUGAUAGCUCAUUGAUAGGAGACACACUUCCUAGUUUGAAUCAUGAAAGUUCCACCCCUAGGAGACGCACUUCCUGGUCUGGGUUUUUUCAGGCUAUAUUUUAUUUUAGGAGACGCACUUCCUAAAUUUUAAAUUCACCCAAAGGAGACGCACUAUCUAAUUUGAGUUACACCCAUAGGAGGCGCACUUCCUAAAUUGAUAAUUCAUUCAUAGGAGACGCACUUCCUAGUUUUAAUUUAAAUUCACCCACAUGAGACGCACUUCCUAAAUUUUAAAUUCACCCAUAGGAGACACACUUCCUAGUUUAAAUCGUUGAAGUUUCACCCCUAGGACACGCACUUCCUAGUCUGGUUCACUAAAGUUUUACCUGUAGGAGAUGCAUUUCCUAAUCAAAGUCUUUUAAGUGAUUCUUAUAGGAGACGCACUUCCUGAAUUGAGAGUACAUUCAUAGGAGACGCACUUUCUAGUUUUAGUCAGUGAAGUUUCACCACUAGGAGAUGCACUUCCUAGUCUGGUUCAUUGAAGUUUCACCCAUAGGAGACGCACUUCCUAAAUUGACAAUUCAUUCAUAGGAGAUGCACUUCCUAAAUUGAUAGUUUAUUCAUAGGAGACGUACUUCCUAGUUUGAGUCAUUGGGAUUUUACCCACAGGAGACACACUUCCUAAAUUGAGGUUGCACCCCUAGGAGACGCACUUCCUAGUUUGAAUCAUUUAAGUAAGACCCUAGGAGACGCACUUCCUAGUCUGAUUCAUUGAAGUUUUACCUAUAGGAGAUGCACUUCCUAAAUUUUUAGUUCAUUCAUAGGAGACACACUUCCUAGUUUCAGUAAUUGAAGUUUCACCACUAGGAGACGCACUUCCUAGUCUGGGCCUUUCAAGUUAUAUUUUGUUUUAGGAGACGCACUUCCUAAAUUUAGAUUCACCCCUAGGAGACGCACUUCCUAAUUUAGGUCAUUCAAGUUCAACCUUAGGAGACGCACUUCCUAGUAUGGUUCAUCAAAGUUUUACCCAUAGGAGACACACUUCCUAAAUUGAUAGCUCAUUGAUAGGAGACGCACUUCCUAGUUUGAAUCAUGAAAGUUGCACCCCUAGGAGACGCACUUCCUGGUCUGGGUUUUUCUGGCUAUAUUUUAUUUUAGGAGACGCACUUCUUAAUUUAAAUUCACCCACAUGAGACGCACUUCCUAAAUUUUAAAUUCACCCAUAGGAGACACACUUCCUAGUUUAAAUCGUUGAAGUUUCACCCCUAGGACACGCACUUCCUAGUCUGGUUCACUAAAGUUUUACCUGUAGGAGAUGCAUUUCCUAAUCAAAGUCUUUUAAGUGAUUCUUAUAGGAGACGCACUUCCUGAAUUGAGAGUACAUUCAUAGGAGACGCACUUUCUAGUUUUAGUCAGUGAAGUUUCACCACUAGGAGAUGCACUUCCUAGUCUGGUUCAUUGAAGUUUCAAUUUCCUAAUCAAAGUCUUUUAAGUUAUUUUUAUAGGAGACGUACUUCCUGAAUUGAGAGUACAUUGAUAGGAGACGCACUUCCUAGUCUGGUUCAUUGAAGUUUCACCCAUAGGAGACGCACUUCCUAAAUUGACAAUUCAUUCAGAGGAGAUGCACUUCCUAACUUGAUAGUUUAUUCAUAGGAGACACACUUCCUAGUUUGAGUCAUUGAGAUUUUACCCACAUGAGACGCACUUCCUAAAUUGAGGUUUCACCCCUACGAGACGCACUUCCUAGUUUGAGUCAUUUAAGUUCGACCCUAGGAGACUCAGUUCCUAGUCUGGUUCAUUGAAGUUUUACCUGUAGGAGACGCACUUCCUUAUCAAAGUCUUUCAAGUUAUUCUUAUAGGAGACGCACUUCCUAAAUUGAGAAUUCAUUCAUAGGAGAUGCACUUCCUAGUUUUAGUCACAGAAGUUUUCAUCCCUACGAGAUGCACUUCCUAGUUUUGGUCAUUUAAAUUCAUCUUUAGGAGACGCACUUCCUAAGUUUAGUUUAUUCAGGUCUUAUUUUAGCAGACCCAUUUGCUAGUCAAAUUUUUUGUUUUACUCAUAGGAGACGCACAUCCUAGUCUAGUCUUUGGUUUACUCUCAUCAUUGCAUCAAUAGUAUAAGUGGAUUACAAUUUUUCUAACAACUCACAAAUCUUCCUAGUGCAAAUGGGGCAGAAAAUUUCAUUUGUUUUGGUUGUAUUGGUUGCAUGAUCCCACAUCGAAAGCAAGGGAACAUAGAAAGUUUCGGAAAUCAGGAGCCCGCCUGUAUAACAAAGGUAUUUCGAGUCAAGUUGUUGUCAAAAUUCUUAUUAAUAUCCGGUAACAGUGCCUUGUUUACAAACUGGGGCAGGAAGUUUUCUUUGUUUUGUAUAUUUUUUAUGAAGUCAGGAGCCCGCCUGGAUAACAUAGGAAUACAGUCAAGUUCAAAUUCAGCAAUCAGAAGCCCACCUGGAUAACAGAGGAAUACAUUCAAGUUUAUUCAAGUUCAGCAAUUUGGAGGGAAGGAACAACAUCUCAGUGCACUAUUUGAAGUAACAACAAUGAGUUUCACCAAAGAAAACACAAGACAACAAGACAACAAGGAAGUACAAGAGCAAGUUUGAAGAUUUUAGAUAGGACUUUGUAAUUCAUAGUUCAUAGUUUAGUCUAGAUUCUUUUAUUUUGACAUGGUGUAAUAAGGAAGGUCAGCGAGCAGUAGCAGCAGUAACAAGCGGUGAAAUCACAGCUCCUGGUAGUCCCAGCUACCAAAUACUCCCGAACUACACUGACAUAAUUCAUGUUUAGCCCAGGAUAUGUAGGCAACCCCUGAAGCAGAGUGCAGUCAAACAUUUCAAAAAUGCUUCACACAGAAUUUUCAAACGGUCAAAAAUCGCUCAUAUUUGUUCACUUAUCUUUGCCCGAAAAUCUUUCAUGUUUCCGAGCAAAGAGUAGCAGCUGUGAGCAUGUGAUUUUUGCCAUAUAUAUGAAUUAUUCCCAUAAAAAUCAAACAAAUGGUUUUUCUUUUAUUUUUAGCAUUUUUGUGUCAUUUUCUGAUAAUUGUAACAUUUUUAUUUGUGCAUGUUAAUUUAUAAAAAAAAUACAAAAAUAUGUAUUUUAAUUUAGGAUUUAAUUUCACAUUUUAGCGUUAAUUAGAGGUUAAUUUGUUUUAGCAAAAAAAUAUGAAAAAUCACAAAAAAUUAGUUCAUUUUACAUUUUUAUCGUUUUUCUUUGGAAUUUGUCACAAAAUAAAUUUUACAAUAAUUUUAGGAAUUAGUUUGCUUAGUUUAAAUAUAUUAGGAUUUUAGUGUGGUUGCAAUUUUAUAAAAUCAGAAAAAAAGAGAAAAAAGUUAUAAAUUAAAAAAAACACAAAAUAGAUAAAAGAAACAAUUGAAAAAUGAAAAAAAAAAGAAUUUUAGAAAUUAUUUGGCUUAAUUUAAAUAUAUUUGGAUUUUAGUGUGGUUGCAAUUAUAUAAAAUUAGAAAAAAAAAGAGAAAAAAUUUAUAAAUUAAAAAACAUAAAAUUUGUUUAAAAGAAAUUAUUGAAAAAAAAAGCAAUUGAAAAAAGAGAAGAAGAAAAGCUUUAAAAUGAAUGCUGCCCAAUUGGGCCAUUUUUGAACCGAAAUUACAGCCCAAAUGCAAAGGUCCAGCUAGCCCAUCACCCCCAAGCCCAAUCCAAUUCCCACGCCCUCGAAACGACAACGUUUUGGUAACGCCCAAUCUCAGCCGUCGAGGUAACGUAAUCGAACGGCUUGGAAGUCUCAUUUAUUUACGAUAUAAUUGUCCUAAUAGACCCCCCACCCCAUCUUCGUCUUCUUUACUGACCCUUCCUCUCAAAACCCUAAUCUAAGCCACCACCAAACCCCACCGCCUGAGGGUGGCGGCGCCGCCUCCAUUCACCCCCAAAUUCACACCACCUCUUCUCCUUCGUCUCCUCAUUCCAUAUCUACCCUUGGUUUCCUUCAAAUCUUCGCCCAAAUGUUCGAAUCUUAAAUCAAAGGUUCUGGCCCAGAUACAAACUUGUCCAAAAAUCUUCAAAUUCACACCACACCCCCCAGGCCACCCUCACCCCUAGUCCCUAGCCAAAUCUCCUCGAAUUUUGGUAUAAAUGCCCGAAUUUUAAAUUAUAGGGUUUUGGAUCAAGGAUGUUUCGGGGAAUCGAAGGUUUAUUUUAUUUUAAGUUAAUGUUAUAUGCUUAUUUCAUGCGAAAUACAUAUAUAACAUUAACUCAAAGCCAAUUUGAGAUCAUUCGAGUUCGAGUUAAUUCAACUACCAAACCAGUGAGUUUCCCUAUUUUUUUCUUUUUUUUCUUUUUGUUUAUUUGUUCUAAUCUUAUUUGAAUUGUUUCUAUGCCAGUUUUAUUUUUAAUUCGUUCUUUUUGUUUGUUUUAAUUAUGAUGUUUAAGUUCUUUUUCGAUUUAGUUUUAAUCAUUGCUGUUUAGGUUCAGUUUCGUUUUGAUUGGUUGGGUAUUGUGUUGAUUUUCUAUUAACUUUGAUCAUUUCAAGUUUGUUUUGGGUUUUGUGAGAUUCUAUUUUAAUGAAUUAACAUCUCAGUUUGAUGUUUAGUUUAGGUCCAUAUAAUUUAGUGUUUAAUUAGUCCUGAGGUUUGGUUAUAGCUAAGUAGUUAGGUAAAUUGGCCUUAGUUAGAUUUUAACUUUGGUAAAGGGGAAUUUGGGUUGGGUAGUAAUUCUAAGGUAAAAACAAGGGUCGUUUGGGGAUAGAAAAAGGUAGUAUCUUGAAAGAUAGUAAUUUCAAGGUAGGUUUAAGGGCAGUAUAGUAUAUUUUGGGGCUAAAAGGGCAUCCUAGAAGCUACUAGAAUAGAACUUUAGUGUAUAUUUCAGAAAACCUAGGAAAUAACUCGAGGAACAAGUUAGGAAAUUGAGGCUUAAAGUGAAAAUGGGCAGGGGCUAAAAAGAAAAAUAAAAUCUGGGAUUUCCCUCACUCUUGCCUAUAUAAAGGCAUUAAUUAACUUGUGAAAGGGUCUUCUUCCCUUAGCCAAAAAUUCCCUAAGAAUACACUCCUCAAACUCUCCGGAUUUGAGAGAAAAAUUCCAGUUCUGAAAAUACCUUUAGAUAUUAGCUAUCCUCAUACUCAAAAACACAACAUAAAAACAACAACAACAACAACAACAACAACAACAACAACAAAAAGUUGGCCUCUCUUAUUGCUUUGUUUGGUAGUUGAGGUUCAGCAUCUUUCUUGGUUUAAUUUCGAGUUGUUUAUGAGUUUAAGCAAAUCAAAUCUGUAUUGGAUUUGUAAUUGUGGUGGUAUUCCUGAAUAUAUUUUGUUCAAUUUGGGUGCUGCAAUUGGAUUGGCUCUUCUGCGUGAAGUUUCAAAUAUUUUCUAACUCCUAGACUGGUUCUGGGCUGCUGUGGGUUCAUUCUCUGAGAUAAAAUCUGUUGCAUUGUUGUUGUUCACGUCUCAAGCUGCUGUUGCUCACUCCUUCAAUUACUAAUAUUUCCUUUUCCUUCUUGCAAACUGAUUCCAGGUACACAUCUAGAGCCAAGUGUGGUGUCAUUUGAAUGGGAAAUGGAGAACUUGAUAUUUACCUCGAUUGCUGUUGGCUGAUUUGUUACAGUUUAUUUUAAACUUCAUUUUAGUAGUUAAAUGUGGUACUUAAUGAAACUGUUUUGGAUUGUUUUUGAUUUAUGGAUUGUUAGCUUCGUUCAGUUGGUUAUUAAGAACAUAUGAAUGUUGUAUUUAAUAAUCCAUUUGGGUAUAAUUUGUGUUGUUAGCAUAUUGGAAAAGGAACUCGUUUGAAGCUUUCCCUUAAACUCGAAAUUGAUUCUGCAUUUAGUAAGUAGAUCGAGUUUGGACUUAAUGAUUGAUUUAGUAGGUUGUUUUGGUUCAACUAGACUACUAGUGUAAUGAAAUCCAAAUUGUGUUGACUAUUCAUAAAAAUGAAAAUAGGGUUUUAUA
rnacentral:lncRNA from 1 species